rnacentral:misc_RNA from 1 species
UUUCCGUAGGUGAACCUGCGGAAGGAUCAUUAUAGUAUAACCGAGGUGCGAGGGCUGUCGCUGAACCGAAAGGUCGUGCACGCCCGAGUGCCCUCACACACAUCCAUCUCACCGCUAUGUGCACCACCGCGUGGGUCCCCCUUUGGCUUGUUCGGAGGGGGGCUUACGUUUUCACACAAACUUUGUAUGCAGUGUAGAAUGUAUUUUUUGUUUUUGCGAUCACGCAAUCAAUACAACUUUCAACAACGGAUCUCUUGGCUCUC